GCAAAAAAAGGAAAAAUUAAAAAGAAUUUCAGCCCCACCCUCGAAGAGAACGCCUCCCUCCCCAGCGAACGACCAGAGAGGCCCCCUUCGCGAGCGCGACAGCUAGGGUUCCUAGCCGCCGCCGGCCCGCCACCACUACCGCCGGCCCUCCGCCGCGGCGCGCCCAGCCGGCCGAAGCCUCCGCCGCCCCGCUGCCGGCACAGGAGCCCAGCAGUGCCUUCCUCCGUCGAGCAGGGCCACCCUCCCUGGAGCAGCCGCUCCCGCCCGGACCUACGCCGGCGACCAGUCCAUAGGCAGGAUUUAGUGUGUUGCUGUUAAUAGGGAAGUUUCCUCUCAAGAGAGGAAGAGAUAAGUGAUCUUAUCAAUAAACCUGAACCAGGGACAUUAAUGCACGCUGAGCUUCCUGCUCAUCUUUUGUGCAUCUUAGCCACCCGUCAUUUCUGAUGAAGUUAAGAGGAUCGAGAGUAAAGCAGGCCGACUCUGGUUCACCAGGGACUUUCAGUGCGCCUGUUAGGAAGAAAAGAGGGACAAGAGCACCUCCAUCUUCUAGAUGUUUACGUGGUAAAAAGGAUGAUAAUGAUAAUGUCAUGAGCAGUGAUGACGCUAUUACAGAAGAAGGCCAUGCUGCCUCCCCUUCAAGCAGGAAGGCAAAAGAACAAAAUCACGGAGAGAUAGCUGUUGGAAGCUCAGCUGAUCCCACAGGCCAGAGUGUCUCUGUAAAUGAAGCACGUGAAAACUCGAGGGCAUUGAAAAAUACUUCUAAUGUGCAAACAACUACUGUUAAGAAGACUACUGCUGAGGAUAAAACUUCUCGAGCAAUCAUGGAUGAUGUUUUUAAUGCAGAAAUGGAUUCCACGUCUUCAGAUGAUGAGAGUGCCGAAGAAGUUGAGGAUGUGAAAGUUUGUGACAUAUGUGGAGAUGUUGGUGAUGAGGUGAAGCUCGCUGUUUGCAAUAGAUGCAACGAUGGUGCUGAGCAUACUUAUUGUAUGCGGGACAUGAUGGAAAAGGUUCCGGAUGGUGAGUGGUUUUGUGAAGAGUGCCAAACUGAAGUAGAAUAUGAAAAGGAGAAGUUAGAAAAACCUCAGGUGAAGCUUGUCACUUCAAAGGAAGAGUCUGUUCAAGGGAAAAUCAGUAAACCUUACAAUGAUGCAAACAGCAGAAGUCCUUGUGAGAAUGAAGUGGAAGAUGAAACUGUUGGCAGAAAAGAACGGAAUGAAGCAAAUCAAGGCAUUGAUAUGGUUGAAGAUGCAAAGAUUCCUCCUGUGGCUAAACAAAAUAUUCCUGAACCUGGUGGUUUAUCAAUGGAGUCUUACUCCAGAAAAGGAAUACCUCUGCCACGUGAGAGCUCAUUCAGGUUGGAUAUAGAGAAAGGAAAGCAACCUACUCCCCAAGUGCCAAUCUUACUGGGGUCUAAUGCUAGCAAGAAUCAGGCACCACCACUUACCGGUCAACUCUCCAAGUCCACUUCUUUCAACAGCUCUAAGGUGCCCAAGGUGAAGCAACUAGUGAAUGAAGUUCCUCAGAAGACCAAAACUUUGAAGGAUCAGUUGUCCUGUAGUAUGAGAAAAGAGGGGCCAACGAGCUUUUCAACUAAGUCAGCAUCAUUCAAAAAGCCCAAAACUUGUGAGCCUGCAAAUAAGGCAAAGUCUUCCAUCAUUCCACCUGCUGAGGAGCUAAGUGUGAUGAAUUUACCAGUGAGCCGAAAUGUAAGUAAUGAUAGAGGCACUUCUAUAUUAGGAUGCCCCUCAAUUACUGGACCACUGGCUUUUCCAGUUCAAUCAAAAGCAGAAUCUGCAGCUCAGCGCCUCACUACAGGAAGCAACAUGUCUGCCUCUAGCAAUUCAGGCCAUUUUACCCAAUUUUGUGGUGUUGAUAAAUUAGGUUUGUCUGCAAUGAAACCUCUGAGUGAGCGAAACUUGAAGGAUGCCUCUGCCAAAAGGAAUAAAAUGUCUGAAGCUACUGAGAAAGCUACUUCCAGAUUAGCAGAUCAAUCUGAUCGCAUCCUCAAAUGUGGUCCUUAUCAUGACCCAGUAUACAGGCCUAAAGAUAUGUCAUCUGGAAGAUCUGUUCCCAGCAGUUCUACUAUAUCAAGUGAUCCGAUGGACAAAUCGAGUCGAGGCUUUUCACCUGUUGAUAAAACAAUAGUUUCAACUGUUCCAGAGUUGGAUUAUAUUUGGCAGGGUGAUUUUGAGCUGUGGAGGACUGGAAGAUCACCUGAGCUAUGUGAUGGUUUUCAAGCUCACUUAUCAUGUUCUGCUUCACCAAAAGUGCUGGAAGUAGCAAAGAAAUUCCCUUCCAGAGUCCAGCUUGAAGAACUGCCUCGUCGAAACUCAUGGCCCACACAGUUUCAACAAAAUGGACCCACAUAUGAGAAUAUUGGUGUUUUCUUCUUUGCUAGAGAUGCUCAGAGCUAUGAACAUCAUUACAGUAAAUUGGUUCAGAAUAUGCUAAUCAAUGAUUUGGCACUCAGAGGAAAUAUCGAAACAGCCGAAUUAAUUAUAUUCCCUUCUAACAUCCUAUCAAAGAACUCUCAAAGAUGGAACAUGUUUUAUUUCCUAUGGGGUGUGUUUAAAGUGAAAAGAGAAGAUCACUGGAACCUUCCACUUGAUGUACCAAUAAGUAAAUGUGAAACUGAUUUGAAUGAGGAUCCCCUGACCGUGGAUCCGCAUACCUCUGUUUUGUCCUCUAGCCGUUCAUUGUCUGAAGACCAAAAUAAUGGCGCUGAUCCAGCCUGCUAUUUGGUCAAGUCAGCUACUUCUGCAGAACAUCAAUGUCUGCAAACUUCGGAAGCUAAUCGUCAGGGAUGUUCAAAUGGAGAUAACUCUUCGGUCCAGGCUGUCGGUGGAAGAGAUUUGGAAGAUCACUGUCAUGAUUCAAGUAUGACAUGUUGUUUAACAAAUAACAGGAGGGCAAACAAUGAUUUUUCCACUGCUCCGGCAGGAAAACAGAAGAUAAUUGCAUAUCCAGACUCUCAAAAGAAAAUGUGUGAUGGUGGCAAUGUUGUCGAACCCAUUUUUGAUGUAAAUACGAUGCCAGUUAAUUGCUCUAUCUCAUCAAUCCACAAACAAGAUAAUCAGAACCGAGCCAUCAACCUUAACAAUGCAGAGAGCCUGAUGGAUGUAGAUCAUGCAAAUAAUAUUGAACUGAACUCAGGUACAGUGGAUCUUGCUUCACAUGCAUCACGUAGUGCACAAAAAAGAAAUGUGGACAUGGCAAACUGGAUUGACGGAGCCAAUGGAUCAGUAGACAAGAAAAUUAAAUUGGAUAAUGUAUCAUCCACUGUGGAGUCUAGUUUAAGUGGGAAGAUCAGAGAUGGAAGGUUGUCAUCCAAGGUACACCCUCUAGCAGCUUUACCUGUUCAUGAUUGCACUGACAAUAAGAGCAUGGCAGGAAUCUCGAAGAGUAAUGGAAAGUGCACAUUUCCGCUAGAUCUAAACGUGGUGGAUGAUGCAGAUAUAGACAUGGCGGAUGAUGCAGCGAUUGGAAAUAGCAUAACCGUUCAGUCUGAAGAUUUACCUGAACAGAACACACAAGAUCUUAAGCCAGCACUGGGGGACAACAUAUCUUCUAGAAAGCCCGUGGUUGAAGAAAAGUUGAAUAAAGGAGAUACACCGCCUACUGAUAUGUCAGGCGCGCUCUCCCUCUCCCUUGCUUUUCCAGCAUCAAAGGAACAAUAGGCUGGUAAAAUGCAUCCGGAAUCGCAAAGAAGCCUGAGAUGAGCAGUAGGAAUAAACCGUCUUUGAUUAUCCAGUGAUGAUGGCUCCUUGCUUUUGCAUUCCUGAUGUCUUGCGUGAUGGAUCUUUGUAGCAUCAACCCACUGCGCAAGGAGUCUGCCAAGGAGUCUGCCGAAGACACAUCUUGUCAAUGUGCAAACAGAUGGCAUCUUUUAGAGUGCAUUUUGAUGACUUUAUAUGCUCCCGGCGGCACACCCAUCUUGAGUAUUGAACUGCGAAGAACUUGAGAAUGUGGAUCAUGGCUUGUGUUGGUACAUAUAAAAUAUAUUCAGCUGCUUUUCCAAACAUCGUUUGAGAUUUGAGCAGAGCUUUUAGACUGCAUUUGAAGUACCAUCCAGUCUCUGCAUUUUAAAUAAAUCUCAUGUCAGAUUUUGUCUUUACCUGUCAACAGUGCGAUAUAUUGUGGGGGAAUGGCGGUGUAAACGCCUAAAAUUGGCACAUAUAUGUUACGUACCUUUUCUGUUGCCUUAAAAUUGUCUCUGGGAUAUCUUAAUAUACUGAUAAAAUCACUAGUUGAGGGAUACCCAUUGCAAAAGAUUACUCCCAAACUUGAGUCACUUAUUUUGGGACGGAGGGAGACCUUCUCCAUUCUGGUAAAUUAAAAACAACUGCUAAAAAG
rnacentral:rRNA from 1 species